CCAGUUGGCCGGGCGGCCGCGCUUUGCCAAUGCCGAAAGGCGGCAGGGUGAGGAAAGUCCGGGCUCCACGGAAACACGGUGCCGGAGAAAGUCCGGCGGGGGCGACCCCAGAGACAGUGCCACAGAAAGCAAACCGCCCGGCCUUGGCCGGGUAAGGGUGAAAGGGUGGGGCAAGAGCCCACCGCGCCGGCGGCAACGCAUGGCGGCACGGUAAACCUCACCGGGAGCAAAACCGAAUAGGGAUGACGCGGCGCUUGACGCCAGCCUGUUUCCAGGCCGGUCAUCCGGGUGGGUUGCGAGAGGCAGCGCGCAAGUGCUGUCCCAGAUGAAUGGCCGCCACGUUUUGCGGGCAACCGCAAAGCCAUACAGAACCCGGCUUACAGGCCAACUGGUUAU
rnacentral:RNase_P_RNA from 2 species